rnacentral:rRNA from 1 species
UACAGAGGUGGCAAGCGUUGUUCGGAAUUACUGGGCGUAAAGGGCGAGUAGGCGGCCUUCUAAGUCAGACGUGAAAUCCCCCGGCUUAACCUGGGAACUGCGUCUGAUACUGGGAGGCUAGAGUAUGGGAGAGGGAUGUAGAAUUCCAGGUGUAGCGGUGAAAUGCGUAGAUAUCUGGAGGAAUACCGGUGGCGAAGGCGGCAUCCUGGACCAUUACUGACGCUGAAUCGCGAAAGCCAGGGGAGCAAACGGG